UACGUAGGGUGCGAGCGUUAAUCGGAAUUACUGGGCGUAAAGCGUGCGCAGGCGGCUUUGCAAGACAGAUGUGAAAUCCCCGGGCUCAACCUGGGAACUGCAUUUGUGACUGCAAGGCUAGAGUACGGCAGAGGGGGAUGGAAUUCCGCGUGUAGCAGCGAAAUGCGUAGAUAUGCGGAGGAACACCAAUGGCGAAGGCAAUCCCCUGGGCCUGUACUGACGCUCAUGCACGAAAGCGUGGGGAGCAAACAGG
rnacentral:rRNA from 1 species